rnacentral:rRNA from 1 species
GAUGAACGCUGGCGGCGUGCCUAAUACAUGCAAGUCGAGCGAACGGACGAGAAGCUUGCUUCUCUGAUGUUAGCGGCGGACGGGUGAGUAACACGUGGAUAACCUACCUAUAAGACUGGGAUAACUUCGGGAAACCGGAGCUAAUACCGGAUAAUAUUUUGAACCGCAUGGUUCAAAAGUGAAAGACGGUCUUGCUGUCACUUAUAGAUGGAUCCGCGCUGCAUUAGCUAGUUGGUAAGGUAACGGCUUACCAAGGCAACGAUGCAUAGCCGACCUGAGAGGGUGAUCGGCCACACUGGAACUGAGACACGGUCCAGACUCCUACGGGAGGCAGCAGUAGGGAAUCUUCCGCAAUGGGCGAAAGCCUGACGGAGCAACGCCGCGUGAGUGAUGAAGGUCUUCGGAUCGUAAAACUCUGUUAUUAGGGAAGAACAUAUGUGUAAGUAACUGUGCACAUCUUGACGGUACCUAAUCAGAAAGCCACGGCUAACUACGUGCCAGCAGCCGCGGUAAUACGUAGGUGGCAAGCGUUAUCCGGAAUUAUUGGGCGUNAAGCGCGCGUAGGCGGUUUUUUAAGUCUGAUGUGAAAGCCCACGGCUCAACCGUGGAGGGUCAUUGGAAACUGGAAAACUUGAGUGCAGAAGAGGAAAGUGGAAUUCCAUGUGUAGCGGUGAAAUGCGCAGAGAUAUGGAGGAACACCAGUGGCGAAGGCGACUUUCUGGUCUGUAACUGACGCUGAUGUGCGAAAGCGUGGGGAUCAAACAGGAUUAGAUACCCUGGUAGUCCACGCCGUAAACGAUGAGUGCUAAGUGUUAGGGGGUUUCCGCCCCUUAGUGCUGCAGCUAACGCAUUAAGCACUCCGCCUGGGGAGUACGACCGCAAGGUUGAAACUCAAAGGAAUUGACGGGGACCCGCACAAGCGGUGGAGCAUGUGGUUUAAUUCGAAGCAACGCGAAGAACCUUACCAAAUCUUGACAUCCUUUGACAACUCUAGAGAUAGAGCCUUCCCCUUCGGGGGACAAAGUGACAGGUGGUGCAUGGUUGUCGUCAGCUCGUGUCGUGAGAUGUUGGGUUAAGUCCCGCAACGAGCGCAACCCUUAAGCUUAGUUGCCAUCAUUAAGUUGGGCACUCUAAGUUGACUGCCGGUGACAAACCGGAGGAAGGUGGGGAUGACGUCAAAUCAUCAUGCCCCUUAUGAUUUGGGCUACACACGUGCUACAAUGGACAAUACAAAGGGCAGCGAAACCGCGAGGUCAAGCAAAUCCCAUAAAGUUGUUCUCAGUUCGGAUUGUAGUCUGCAACUCGACUACAUGAAGCUGGAAUCGCUAGUAAUCGUAGAUCAGCAUGCUACGGUGAAUACGUUCCCGGGUCU